rnacentral:rRNA from 1 species
UACGGGGGGGGCAAGCGUUGUUCGGAAUUACUGGGCGUAAAGGGCGCGUAGGCGGCCUUCUAAGUCGGACGUGAAAUCCCUCGGCUUAACCGAGGAACUGCGUCCGAGACUGAAAGGCUUGAAUCCGGGAGAGGGAUGCAGAAUUCCAGGUGUAGCGGUGAAAUGCGUAGAUAUCUGGAGGAAUACCGGUGGCGAAGGCGGCAUCCUGGACCGACAUUGACGCUGAGGAGCGAAAGCUAGGGGAGCAAACGGG